GGAGAUAUAGAUCAAACUCUUCCCUCCUAUCAGGAUAUACGGAGCAUAUCACGUCUCUAUAUAUCCCAAACGUCAACACAAAUUUGGGUAUGGAUAGCUUCCGAUUCAAUCUAGGGUCCCUCGAUUUUAACACUACAGGCACGUCCCCAUAUGCAUAAGUUCUAUUUUCAAGGACAUCUUGAGAAGCAAUGAGAAGUGAUACUAGAUUGAUAUCCUUCCCUUCCAAGAUGUCCUUCUUGAUACUAGCAGGCACCAUGUGUGCCGGAUUAAUAAUAUGCGGGUCUUUCAUACCCGUUGGAACAUUACACGUUAGGUGAUCUGGGCGAACCAUAGCGACCGGAUGCCCUAGUUCUGAGGAUGCUAUCUGCAUCCAUCAUAUCAAGUCUGGCCGUAAUACGGCCCAAUUAAGUCAGGACUGAAGAUAACACAUUAUGUAGAUCAGUCAACUGGCUACCACUAGAACCUUCCCCGCCCCCGAAUUAUCAGUCCGAGUAUUCAACAGUCUGUAUAAUUUGGCUUUGUUAGCCGUAGCAGGGAAGGGAAUGUUCCUUUUCCUCAGUUCGGCGGUGAUCCUAGGAAUGGUCCAUGCCCUGAGUGAUGCAGGGCUUGCUGUGUCGUCACCACGAGAAGGAGUGACUGAUCUAGCCGGUGUACUGGGAAUGGACACAUCUUCCCCGCCUUCAGGUAGUUGUGACAUGCUACAAAACAAAAUAACAUGUUACCUGGGGCACUACCCGACUGGCUGAUGUAACUAAUGCCAAGUGGCGAAACUAUUAUAAAAUAACGUGACGGGUGGGGCCCUGCUAGUUGCCAAGCGGCUUUGAGAGGCACUAUCUAUGAUUUGGCUCGUGUGGGGUACGUGGCCAUUGACAUUAUGGCAGGGUGUCGGCCUCUCUGUGACUUGUAAAGGCAUAAGACAGAAUGGGAGUGACAAAUGAGGCCCUCUCUAUGCAACCAAGCGAGGCGGCUACCUAUGAAUUGGCCCAAUGGAAUGUCGUACCUCCGAAAUGAGGAUGGGUGUUGGCCUCGCGGCACCAGAAGGCUUAGAAGGCUGGAAAACUUACCUAGAG